CCGUGCAGCCGGGGAGAUAGCGGUGCCCUGUACCUGCAAUCCGCUACAGCAGGGGUGAUGCCUUGCCUAGGGUGCUUUUUUGUAGGGCUGCCCCCUAUAAGUGAUGUUGACGUCUGGGUCUUACGCAACAGGAAUUCGUGAACCGUGUCAGGUCAGGAAUGGAGCAGCACUAAGCGAAAGCUCUUGUGUGCCGUAAGGCUGCCUGGGCCGAGUUAACUGUAGGGGUAACGCCUAUGAAGAGCAUUCGAAGCAAGACGCACGG
rnacentral:SRP_RNA from 1 species